GACAGAGGGUGCAAACGUUGUUCGGAAUUACUGGGCGUAAAGCGCGUGUAGGCUGCCUUGCAAGUCGGGUGUGAAAGCCCUGGGCUCAACCUAGGAAGUGCACUCGAAACUGCAAGGCUGGAGUCCUGGAGAGGAAGGCGGAAUUCUCGGUGUAGAGGUGAAAUUCGUAGAUAUCGAGAGGAACACCGGUGGCGAAGGCGGUUCUCUGGGCCUUACCUGACGCUGAGGGGCGAAAGCCGUGGGGAGCAAACAGG
rnacentral:rRNA from 1 species